UACAGAGGGUGCAAGCGUUAAUCGGAGUUACUGGGCGUAAAGGGCGCGUAGGUGGAUAUUUAAGUCGGAUGUGAAAUCCCUGGGCUUAACCUAGGAAUUGCAUUCGAUACUGGGUAUCUAGAGUAUGGUAGAGGAAAGUGGAAUUCCCGGUGUAGCGGUGAAAUGCGUAGAUAUCGGGAAGAACAUCAAGGCGAAGGCAGCUUUCUGGACCAAUACUGACGCUGAGGCGCGAAAGCGUGGGGAGC
rnacentral:rRNA from 1 species